GGAUGUGAGGGCAUUCUGCUGUGACAUCUGUCACUCCAUUGAUCACCAGGGUUGUUCCAGCUGAUCUGGCUGGCUAGGCGGGUGUCCCCUUCCUCCCUCACCGCACCGCUCCAUGUGCAUCCCUCCCAAAGCUGCGCGCUUGGUGGAAGAGGACGGCCUUCCCCAAAUAGAGAUGGAUAGGUCUUUGGUUGAGGUUAUAGGAGUAGCUGCGCUCCCCUGCUAGAACCUCCAAACAAGCUCUCAAGAAAGGAAAAGAAAAAUAAAUAAAUAAAAGGAAAUGUAUAAUUGUAAUAAAAUUUAC
rnacentral:snRNA from 1 species